AUCCAGCUGACGAGUCCCAAACAGGACGAAAUAAGUCUCUUGGAU
rnacentral:hammerhead_ribozyme from 1 species